CUGGCCCCCUCCACAAUGUCCAAGGCCGAAGAGCCCAAGAAGCUGGCUGGCCUUGCUGCAGUGGAGAACCACGUGAGGAAUAACCAACCAAGUGCUGGGAAUUGGAAGUGGCUCUACAAUUGUCCAUGCUGUGCAGCGAAUAGCCGAAAGAGUGAAGCAAUAGAAUGUGAACCUCAUCUGCAUUCCCACCUCCUUCCAGGCCCGUCAGCUCAUCCUGGAGCAUGGCCUGACACCCAGGGAUCUGGAUUGACACCCAGAGAUUGACCUCGCCAUUGAUGGUGCUGAUGAAGUAGAUGCUGAUCUCAAUCUCAUCAAGGGUGGUGGAGGCUGCCUGACCCAGGAGAAGAUCAUGGCUGGCUAUGCCAGUCGCUUCAUCGUGAUCGCUGAUUUCAGGAAAGAUUCUAAGAACCUUGGGGAUCAGUGGCACAAGAGAAUCCCCAUUCAGGUCAUACCAAUGGCCUACGUCCCAGUGAGCCGAGCUGUGAGCCAGAAGUUUGGGGGUGCAGUGGUACUUCGAAUGGCUGUUAACAAUGCAGGUCCUGUGGUGACAGAUAAUGGGAAUUUUAUCUUGGAUUGGAAGUUUGACCGGGUACACAAAUGGAGUGAAGUGAACACAGCUAUCAAAAUGAUUCCAGGUGUGGUGGACACAGGUCUGUUCAUCAACAUGGCUGAGAGGGUUUAUUUCCAGAUGCAGGAUGGCUCAGUGAACAUGAGGGAGAAGCCCUUCUCUUGACCCUGCAGAGCAUGUUCAUCUUGAGCCCACAACCAAGUUGGACACACUUCUCCAGGAGCCUUUGCCUUAAUGCAUCUGUGCCAGGGUGAACAACUGGCAGGGCCAGGUGGGGGUGGGAGGUUUAAAUCCAGUCUUCUGAAAUAUUGUUAUUAAGUGUCUUCUUAAAAAGAGAAAUAUAAACAUAUAUUUUUACUAUUUAAAUAUUCAG